GACGAACGCUGGCGGCGUGCUUAACACAUGCAAGUCGAGCGGUAAGGCCCUUUCGGGGGUACGACGAGCGGCGAACGGGUGAGUAACACGUGGGUGACCUGCCCUCAGCUCUGGGAUAAGCCUGGGAAACUGGGUCUAAUACUGGAUAUGACUCCACGGUGCAUGUCGUGGGGUGGAAAGCCUUGUGCGGCUGAGGAUGGGCCCGCGGCCUAUCAGCUUGUUGGUGGGGUGAGGCCUACCAAGGCGACGACGGGUAGCCGGCCUGAGAGGGCGACCGGCCACACUGGGACUGAGACACGGCCCAGACUCCUACGGGAGGCAGCAGUGGGGAAUCUUGCGCAAUGGGCGAAAGCCUGACGCAGCGACGCCGCGUGAGGGAUGA
rnacentral:rRNA from 1 species